AGUGAACGCUGGCGGUAGGCCUAACACAUGCAAGUCGAACGGCAGCACAGUAAGAGCUUGCUCUUACGGGUGGCGAGUGGCGGACGGGUGAGGAAUACAUCGGCAUCUACUUUUUCGUGGGGGAUAACGUAGGGAAACUUACGCUAAUACCGCAUACGACCUACGGGUGAAAGCAGGAGAUCUUCGGACCUUGCGCGAUUGAAUGAGCCGAUGUCGGAUUAGCUAGUUGGCGGGGUAAAGGCCCACCAAGGCGACGAUCCGUAGCUGGUCUGAGAGGAUGAUCAGCCACACUGGAACUGAGACACGGUCCAGACUCCUACGGGAGGCAGCAGUGGGGAAUAUUGGACAAUGGGCGCAAGCCUGAUCCAGCCAUACCGCGUGGGUGAAGAAGGCCUUCGGGUUGUAAAGCCCUUUUGUUGGGAAAGAAAAGCAGCAGGUUAAUACCCCGCUGUUCUGACGGUACCCAAAGAAUAAGCACCGGCUAACUUCGUG
rnacentral:rRNA from 1 species